ACCAUAAACAAUAAAAAAAAACAUUAAAAGUAGAAUUAAUUUUUUCCUCUUUUCUCCUCAAAUUAUUGAUGUUCUAUUAGGUUUGUUCGACUUCAUGUGGCGCUGCAAGAACCGACAGGCGGAUGACGUCAAAGUAACGCGCUGCAUGAAGUUGAACAACCCUCUCGUCUCUUCCUUGUGUCCUCCUCAGUGACACACCCUUGAAGAUACAGCAGGCAUGUAUUCGCCAUUUUACUCAAUCUUUAAAGUGCAAUUGGGUUAUUAUGACCACUACUUUUGUUCCUCUACAGCAGGGUUCCCCAAAUCUUAGCCUGGAGGGCCGGAGCACUGCAGAGUUUAGCUCCUACCCUGAUAAAACACACCUGAGCAAGCUAAUCAAGGUCUUCAUGGUCACUAGAAAAUCACAGGUGUGGUGAACUGGAAAGCAUUUAAUGAGAACUACAGAACCAUGUACACGAUUCCUUACUCGAUAUCCAGAUGCCUCCAGUGUGACACCUUGUUCAAGAAUCAUGGAGCAGGCUACAGAGGUAGAGGACAAAGAUGCUUCUGCAGGGUUUUAGUCCUGUGAUGACUUGCGAGGGAUUUUGUGGAAUCAGCACAUCGUUUUUAUGAGGCUGGAGGAAAAGUAAUCUAAUUUGAAACUAGUGGGUGGUUUCCCAGACAGGGAUUAGCUUAAGGCAGGACUAGACCUUAGCUUAAUUAGAAAAUAUAACUAGUUUUUACAAACAUGCCUUACUAAAAACAUUACUUCUGUGCAUUUUGAGGCAAAACAAAGGGCACUGAUGUAUUUUAAGAUAUGUCAGUGCAAGUUGUUUGGGCAGCUCUUACAUUUAUUUUAGUCUAGGACUAGUCCUGUCCGGUGUCAUGAGCAAUCCAGUCCCCCCGAGCAAUUCGGUCUCCCCUAGGACCCCGAUUGGUAUCUAGCACUAAUGCCUGCUCAAAAAUGUGUCAUUGCAAUAUCUCGUCUGCAUACGCGGCUAGCAAGCUAAUUAUGUUGUACAAAAUAGAAACAUUACAUUUUAAAAAAAUAAAAGUUAACUAAAAAAAACAAUAUAAUAAACUAAUAUUCAUGUUGCAGACACGUCAGUACUUUUGUGUCAUCAUCUGCUUUACAAAAACAAUACUUUUAUUUUUUGUAAAUUAUUAACAUACCUUACAGAAUAUAUAUUUUUAAUAGUAAAAGUGUAGUAAUCAUGGCUUAUACAAAACAUUAUUACUACAUAGUUAAAUCACACAUUUAAAUUAUAAUUAUAAGUAAUUAAUGAGUAAGUAAUUGUAUAAGUAGAAAGUCAAAAGUGGAAAUGGUACAGUAUAAUAAUCUAAGUAAUAAAAUGACACAAGCAAUGUGUAGAUCUCUCACCUAUAGCCUCAUUUAUAUACUACUAUAUGAAACAUAUCAUUUAAAAGACAUCAAUUGUAAUUUUAACAACGUUCUAACUACAUAAAUCAUAACGCGAUUUUGUAGGGAUUGUAAUAAGGCGCUAAGAAAACUACCCAUGAGGAGUUUUUUCAGCCAAUGGAGUCGCGCGGGGUCCUAGGGGAGACCGAAUUGCCCGGGGGGACUGAAUUGCUCACGACACCGGCAAACCGCCCCUAGAUGUUUUUAUUGCACAUCUUUUAGAAUAUUUUGCACUUAAACUGAGAAUUUGUUUUUUGGAAUGUAACUAUGCGAUCAAUAAACUGAUCCUAAUGUUGUUUUUGUUUUAUCACCUUUAUCUCUUGUAUAUUAAUUUCUACUUUUUAGUUUCUGUUUUUAUUACACUUCUCUAAGAGAAUAUUACAUUUAAAAUAAUUUGUGUUAGACUAUGAGUUUGGCUAUAUGGUUAGUCAAUAAUCUGAUCCUAAUGUUUAACUUUUUCAGGUCAUCAUUUCAGGUCCACAUAUUUUAUUUAUUAUAAUACAUUUUACAAGGUCAGUUAAAUAUCAGUAAUACAUAUAAAGCCCAUUCUGUAAAAAUAUGACAAGUUAGACCAAAGUAAUCAUGUGCUUUUAUAUUGAUGGGGGACCCUAAUACACUUACAAUAAAGUUAAUUAUAAAUAACUUGCGUAAACGCAAUGUAAAAUGCUGUCUAUUGAUCUGUGCAAGGUAUUUGGUUUUAAUGGUGCUCAUCUGUUGAUUUGGUGCAGUUAUGUCACACUUUUAUAGGUUUUAUGAAAAAGGCUUACACCAUAAUAAAAUUUGCUGUUU